ACGAACGCUGGCGGCGUGCCUAAUACAUGCAAGUAGAACGCACAGUUUAUACCGUAGCUUGCUACACCAUAGACUGUGAGUUGCGAACGGGUGAGUAACGCGUAGGUAACCUGCCUGGUAGCGGGGGAUAACUAUUGGAAACGAUAGCUAAUACCGCAUAAUAUUAAUUAUUGCAUGAUAAUUAAUUGAAAGGUGCAAUUGCACCACUACCAGAUGGACCUGCGUUGUAUUAGCUAGUAGGUGAGGUAACGGCUCACCUAGGCGACGAUACAUAGCCGACCUGAGAGGGUGAUCGGCCACACUGGGACUGAGACACGGCCCAGACUCCUACGGGAGGCAGCAGUAGGGAAUCUUCGGCAAUGGACGAAAGUCUGACCGAGCAACGCCGCGUGAGUGAAGAAGGGUGUCGGAUCGUAAAGCUCUGUUGUAAGAGAAGAACGGGUGUGAGAGUGGAAAGUUCACACUGUGACGGUAGCUUACCAGAAAGGGACGGCUAACUACGUG
rnacentral:rRNA from 1 species